GAUGAACGCUGGCGGCGUGCCUAAUACAUGCAAGUCGAGCGAACGGACGAGAAGCUUGCUUCUCUGAUGUUAGCGGCGGACGGGUGAGUAACACGUGGAUAACCUACCUAUAAGACUGGGAUAACUUCGGGAAACCGGAUCUAAUACCGGAUGAUAUUUUGAACCGCAUGGUUCAAAAGUGAAAGACGGUCUUGCUGUCACUUAUAGAUGGAUCCGCGCUGCAUUAGCUAGUUGGUAAGGUAACGGCUUACCAAGGCAACGAUGCAUAGCCGACCUGAGAGGGUGAUCGGCCAACCGGGAAAGGGAAACGGGUCCAAACCCCAACGGGGGGCAGCAGGAGGAAAUCUGCCCAAAGGGGGGAAAGCCUGACCGGGCAACGCCGGGUGAGUGAGAAAGGGUUUCGGAUCGUAAACCCUUUUUUUGGGGAAAAAACAAUUGUGUAAAUAACUGUGCAAAUCUGGACGGGCCCAAAUAAGAAAGCCCCGGUAAAUUGAGG
rnacentral:rRNA from 1 species